rnacentral:rRNA from 1 species
GAUGAACGCUGGCGGCGUGCCUAAUACAUGCAAGUCGAGCGAACCACUUCGGUGGUGAGCGGCGAACGGGUGAGUAACACGUAGGUUAUCUGCCCAUCAGACGGGGACAACGAUUGGAAACGAUCGCUAAUACCGGAUAGGACGAAAGUUUAAAGGUGCUUCGGCACCACUGAUGGAUGAGCCUGCGGCGCAUUAGCUAGUUGGUAGGGUAAAGGCCUACCAAGGCGACGAUGCGUAGCCGACCUGAGAGGGUGAACGGCCACACUGGGACUGAGACACGGCCCAGACUCCUACGGGAGGCAGCAGUAGGGAAUCUUCGGCAAUGGGCGAAAGCCUGACCGAGCAACGCCGCGUGAAUGAUGAAGGCCUUCGGGUUGUAAAAUUCUGUUAUAAGGGAAGAAUGGCUCUAGUAGGAAAUGGCUAGAGUGUGACGGUACCUUAUGAGAAAGCCACGGCUAACUACGUG